GACUCGCCAGCCCAUUUAGUUGCCAGCAAACGGUGUAACGUUGUAAUCAGCACAGAUAGUGACCAAGGUGAUGUGGUCUUUAUCUGAUAAUAACGCAGUGGUCUUUAUCCGAUGCUGCACUCAUCACAUCCUCUGACGGACUUUGACUGGGCGAAUUUAACCGGACGGGAAUAAAGUCGAUGGAUUUGUUGGGCUGGCCAAUCGAGUCGGACGGAAAGACCAGAGUUCCAUGUCUAAUAUUUUCAAUUCAAUCCAAUUACUCUAAUAUAAUUAAUGAUACAUUUUAGUUGAAACAAAAUAGAUAAAAACCGAUUGUUUUAUUGUUUGAGCGGUUUUUAAUUAUUGUGGGAUAUUGACUUUUUUUAAAUCGAUAUUUUAUUUUUAUGGCUAACGAUUAGUGUCGUCUGCUUUUUCCUGUUCUGUACUCUUUUUUUUUCUCUCGACAAAGCAUGAGACAAAGAAACCACGUUUAAGAUCACAAAGAAAAUGGAAUUUUUUGGAAACAAAUUUACACGAAAGAUUAAGAACAUCACAAAAAUGUGAUCGUCGUUUUCAUCAUGUUAACUCUGGAGUUCGCGACUCUCCAAUCUCCAUGCUGUUUUGGCAGAUUUGGGGCCGGAGCCUACCAUCACAAAGAAAAGAUGUGCAAGUUUUGCUUGUGCAUCACCAAUCACAUGUCUUCAAUCACCUGCCAUCAGCAACAAUCUCUGUGUCAUCGCUAAUGAUAACCAGCAUCCCGUUUGAGUGGAGAAACAACCGAUGUCGGUCGAGUUCUUCCCCUUUCUCUACUCGUGUACAUGUGAAUGCAUGGAUGUAUUCACCAGGACGUCCUUUUAACUAUCUUUUCUGGUGGAUUCUGUGGAUUUGGAACUUCUAUGGAAUGUGGGGUGCCUGCCUGUAUUCCCCAGGCUUCAAGAUAAACAGCUUUUUGAUUGGAGAAACUACCGAUGCCGGGUGACUCAUCUCUUCUUUCCCUUUCUUUAAAUGUCCAAGUGUAUGCCCAUGUGAGUGUGGGUAUAUUCACGAGGACCUCCUUUUUCCUAUCCCGUCUCCUGGAUUCUGCGGAUGGAGCACCUGUGGAUGCCUGGCCAUAUUUCCCAGGCUUAAAGGGCUAAAUGUACCAGCUUGAGUUGUCUUCGAGCAGUCAAUUGGGAUACUCAGAUGCCGUCUUCUUUUCCUUCACCCGUGAUUACCAAAAUAUGCAAGGAGGAUUAGAAAAAGGACCUGUGUACCGACCGAAUGCUAUAUCACAAGGGACGACAUCACCUGCAGAAGAUGAGCCAUUGAAUUUACUUCUGUCCGGAUCGUCACCUGCAUUGCCAUGAGCCGCUGGUCAAGCUCAAGGAAUUUUACAUGAGACAUUUCACGUCAAUGCCAUUUUCUCGCGGUAAACGAAAGCAGCUCCAACUACAGAAACAAUUACAAUGAAUUUGAUGGGUGUUUUUCUAUUGAGUGUAAACUAUAGGCUAGUCUUUAAUAACAAGUCUUUUAAACUGGUAACUUACUGGUUUGAUCAGUCGUCAUUCUUUGUGCGUGUAGAAUUUAGACGUGAACUUGAUGGAGAGAAAAGCUUAGACGUUACGGCUGAGUGUGACUCGCUAGCUGUGCUGCUGAACGAUGCUGCCGAGUUCCUUUUAACGCCUCUUCUUGUCAUCGACGACUCUGCUGCGUUUAUAUCCUCCUCCAUCGUAAGUUUCGUAGUGUUCGCCGAGCCCCCCCUCCACCCCAACCACGAAAAAUGAAACGUAAUUCCUGUGUCAUCGGCCACCACCCCCCUUCUAGCGAUAAAAAUAAUAAAUAAAUCAAUAAUAUGCCCAAGUCUUCAAUUUUGGUCUCUCUGUCAUUUGCAUCCGUCCGUAGAUGUUCGAUCUUGCUGGCUAUACCUUUACAACGGUCGCCAUAAACUUUUUAUGAACACUCUACGUAGUUUAUCAGCACGAAACUGUCUGCCUAACCCUUUAAGCAGAUUCUUCUUUACGAUCCGACUCUAAACUGACCUAACGCUCCCUCAACCUAAUACAUGAAAGAAUUAUCUAUAUUAUUGUGUGAAAUGAAUUUGUGUCGCAGUCGGUGAUAAGCUCGGGACUUGUUUUGAAUUGUGAAAGUCGACUUUAAAUUUAUCCCCUUUAUGGUUUUCUCUGUCAUUGACGUUAUUGAGAGCUUAGAGGCAAUACCAAUGUGGUGAACACUUGACGCCAGCAACUUUAAACUAAACGAACUUUAAACUAAACUAAACUGAUCUUUUAACUAAACGAAUUAAAUAAAUUACGAUGAUCAUUUCAAGUCGCCACUGGAUCCGAUUGACCAUUUUCCGCUCGAGUUUCUUUUUCUUCCGCAAUCCUCUCGUGAUCUUCAAUCUUGGCUUGUAAUUUCUUACUGGCCUUCAGCGUAUUCCACGACACGAAUCUAAUAAUAUAUAAAUAUUUGGUUAUAACUUAAGAAUGAACUGAAGGUGCAUUAACUAAUAAAUAAGGCGUUAUUUGAAAAAAGAGAAAUAUGCUCGUGGCCAUGAUUUUUAUAAUGUGCCUUUAUAAAAACGAAUAUCCCCCGUUGAUACCUUGCCAUCGUUCGAGUUGAAUGUCAAUUUGUAGUCCGGGACAUCCGUAGACGAAGAAGACGACCACGAGAAAUGCUUGGAGAAACGUCCACCCCUUAUAUGUUUUUUUUUAAUGAAAACGGGUUUCCAAUCCUGAAAAAAACGUUGAAUAUAUUCAAUAUUGUUUUAUAACCACUCCGUCUUUAUCCGUUCCGUUUUCUUGUUUACCUCAGCUGACCUGAAGGAAAUUGAGCUGAUCAAUUUCCCAUUCACAUCCGAUGAUGCGAGAAACCGCCCGUCGGGUGAAAACGACAGCCAAUCUAUAACACUUGAAUGUUGUUUGAUGAGAAAUCUUGUCUUUUUCUUUUUCAGUGGAGUCCAAAUGACAAUCUUCCUUUGGCCAAAUCCACUGUAAUGAAAAUCAAAAUCAAAAAUGCGAAAAUGCUCUGCCCUUCCUGACUUCCUCCCUUGUCCAUUUUUUUUCCGCGAGAAAAAGAAAACUAGGUACUAUCCCUUCCUUCAACUCAAUUGUUUAACUUUAAAAUAGGAAAAUAUUCAAAAAAAUAUUUGCGCGCGAAAGUUUGCGUGCGAAAGUGUAUGGCUUCUUGUCCCCACGCUCUACCGCUUUGUUCAUUUUGCUUACGUGAAAAAGAGAAACAUUUGAAUUUGCAUAUGUGAAUGCAGUCCUUUUAUAAGUUCAAUCCCAUUUUUCACAAUUCCCGUCCGUUGAUCAACUCACCAAGCCAAAAUGAAAUUGUCGGUUGAUUUCCUGGCCGCGUCCACUCCCUCGUCGUCCGUUUGUUUUCUGUUUGGACGCCAAGCCAAACUCCUACAUUCGCCAUCGACCUUUGUGGUGUGAAUGGGUUGGUCGCUGUCCAUUGACCAAAUCUAAUAGGAAAACGACAAGUUCAAGAUGACACGCCCAUUCAAAAGAACAAAUACAAUUUACCGUUAUCCAUCCGUCGUCAUAACAAGCGGCCAAACAUUUUGUCCUUUCGUCCCAUGCCACAUUUGUUAUAUAGUCCUUAAUCAAAUUAUAAAAAAAAGUUAUCUAGAAUGUGCAAUGACAUGUCAAUGGAUAAACAAAACUCACGCUUUCA